rnacentral:rRNA from 1 species
UACGUAGGUGGCAAGCGUUGUCCGGAUUUACUGGGCGUAAAGGGUGCGCAGGCGGUUCUGCAAGUCAGGCGUGAAAUCCCCGGGCUUAACCUGGGAAUGGCGCUUGAAACUACGGGACUGGAGUAUGGCAGAGGGAGGUGGAAUUCCACGUGUAGCGGUGAAAUGCGUAGAGAUGUGGAGGAACACCGAUGGCGAAGGCAGCCUCCUGGGCCAAUACUGACGCUCAUGCACGAAAGCGUGGGGAGCAAACAGG